UACGUAGGUGGCAAGCGUUAUCCGGAAUUAUUGGGCAUAAAGCGCGCGCAGGCGGUUUCUUAAGUCUGAUGUGAAAGCCCACGGCUCAACCGUGGAGGGUCAUUGGAAACUGGGGAACUUGAGUGCAGAAGAGAAAAGCGGAAUUCCACGUGUAGCGGUGAAAUGCGUAGAGAUGUGGAGGAACACCAGUGGCGAAGGCGGCUCACUGGGCUGACCUUGACGCUGAGGCGCGAAGGCGUGGGGAGCGAACGGG
rnacentral:rRNA from 1 species